ensembl:lncRNA
GCACGCUGAGUGUGUGAAUAGGUGCAAGCAAUUUGUGAGCAAAUGAGGAACAAACUCUCACAUUCACUUGUAAAGUAUUCAGGCUCAAUGCUGUGGCCAAACGGAUCUAAAAACAUCGCAGGCUCUAAUAGAUGUAUGUUUCUGUGGUUUGGUUGUGUGAUUCACCGGAAAUGCUAUCUGUGGUAUUCUGAGAAGCAGUUCGGCAAAAUGAUACGUGAGUACAUCAAAGUUCACUUAGACAAGCAUCUUCUUUGGAGUCGGUCUUAUAGGAUUGUUCUUCAUCAUGGCUGGACGCCUGCUGUUUGUCACCCUCAUGUAUUCCUGUGCCAAUACUAAAACACAAGCUCGUCCUCAACUCAUAAUGAAUUCAGCGGUGAUCUCAGAGACGGAAACAGUCACAUUGGACUGUCGAGCUCCAUCAUAUCCUACUGUCCACCAGUGUUAUUUCACCAUUAUCGGAGCAAAACAUGCCAAAGGCUUCACUUGUGUGCAGACACUGACAGGAACUGAACUGUUGAGGAUGUCAGACCAGAGAGCACCUGCUGAGGUUAAAGUGGAUUGUUAUUACACUGUAAUGGUUGGAGACGUGAAUCAUCCAUCUGCACACAGUGUCACAUCAUCCAUCACAAUCCAAACAGGUCUUUGUGCUUCCAGGCCUGUAACUACUGUAAAGCAAACAUCAGCAGGUCUCAGUGCUUCCAGGCCUGUAACUCGUAUAAAGCAAACACCAGCAGAUCAAACCUUUGGACCAAGAAACUCUGGUAGUUUUAGUUCUCCUCCCCUCACAACAGACAAACCAACAUCAGAUGUUGUCGAGUCGAGCACGACGCAGACUAAGCCGGCAUCUACUGUGACCACAGCAGGUCUCAGUGCUUCCACGCCUGUAACUCGUAUAAAGCAAACAUCAGCAGAUCAAACCUUUGGACCAAGAAACUCUGGUAGUUUUAGUUCUCCUCCCCUCACAACAGACAAACCAACAUCAGAAAUGCAGAGAUGGAUGUUCAUGGUGAUUGCGAUUUGUUUGGGAGGUUUUUUCUCUAUUUCCUUACUGGGACUGGGCCUUCUGUGUAGAAAAAGAACAUUGGGUAAGAACUUGACUUAUGUGUCAGAAAUCAUUGAGUUAUUCUUUGCUCCCUGCUGCUUGAUGAACUGACAAAGAAUUUGAGCAGAGGGUCAAAAGAGGCACUAAAGACCCUUUUGAACACAACUUGCACAUAACUCUGUUUAGAGAACAGCAUCGUUUACCACAUUUGCAUUAAUGUCAUUGGAUGUUAGUAGUUCCUCACCUGUAAGUAUUCCAGAGAGAGCUGGACUUCCAAGCAAACUGCCUUAUGUAACAAUAUGCUUUUCUCUCUGUUGUGUUUUUCAGAAAGAUGUUCUUAUAAGAGGUCACAAGCUGAUGUCACUGGUAAUAUGCACACGUAGUCAGACAUCAUCACUGAAUUAUUUCUAUACACAUUUAGAAUGUGGUCUUUCUGUUCUGUCACAUUUGCAGGUUCUGUGAAACUGGAGGAGCAAACAUUUACAAAUGAGAAUCCCAUAUACCAUCUCUACUCCACUAUCCCCGACGAGCCGCCUGCAUCAGCCCAGGAGGAAGCGAUGUACAGCUACCUGCAGCCACAGUUGAAGCACUAGCCUUUUAUACUGUAGAGAAACUGUUUGAGCGGAAAGUCUUCUUUAAUCCAUUUAUUUUACAUUUUUUAAACAUAAUAUUCUUUGCAAAAAUGCAAUGCCAAUUGUAACUAAUGAACAACAGGUCUCAGCUGGGUGGCACACUUGAUAUUUUGUUUUACAGGGAGAAAAGAUUAUUGAAUUUUUAUAUUGAAUUACAGAGAAUGGACGUUUACUUUUUGCAAUUGUUGAAUAUGUGCAAAGGUUUCAUUUUGUGAAGUUGGAGGCUGUUGAUUAGCACUACAUUGUAGACAGCUUCUUCUUUCUCUUUAAAGAUUCAAGUCAAAGAUGGGUCAGGAUUUUCUUCUGCAUGCUGUCAUAAAACAGCAUAAGCUUGCUUCUUUAGGACCUGUAACACGAUGCCUGCUCAAUAGAAUUAAACAAUUAAAAAAAUAAGAUAAC